CUUGAGGCUGUGAAACAAUCUCAGUUUCUGGUGUCUCUUCCCUGGUGGUUGUAUGAGUUGACUCUGGGACGACAGGAAGUGAUUCUGAUAGCUCUGGAUACCUCUCUUCUGGAUGUGUCGGCAUCCCAAACAAUGCAUGGCAAGCUGUUCAAUCUUCUGAUCUAAACCAGGCCACCAGACAAAGCUUCGAACCUAGGUGACUGCCAUGUAGUUCCUGCGACACUUUUACUCUCAUGUUGGAUGGUAGAAUAACUCUCAAUCCUUACACCAGGCAACCCCAGUCAAGGGCAAGUUCAUCCCGGUGCUGGUAAAAAUGGGAGAACUAUGUUUCCUGGUGCACACUCCAGCCAUUUUGCGUGGCCAUGUAGAACUGAGACAUGGUUCUGCUCUUGCUUUGGAUCAUCUCUGCCAUAACAGGAAGACAUUUGAUUUGCAUUAGAGAAAAUACAUCAAGUAGAGUGUCCUCUUUUGUAAAAUUUUCAGCUAUUUCCCUUUCUAAGGUUAAAUGGGACAAUCCGUCAGCAUUUCCAUGAUUGGUUGUCCUCUUGAAAUCGAUCUUGUAAUAGUGUCAUCUGAGAACCAGAGCCCAUCUUUGCAUUUGUGAUGCUGCUGUUGGUGGAACAUUUUUCUGUGGAUUGAAAUGGACACUAGUAGUUGAUGAUCAGUAACAAGGGUAAACUCUCUCCCAUACAAGAAUUGUUUGAAAUGUUUUAUGCCCUCAGCCAGACUCAAAGCCUCUUCGUCAAGAUGUGUUUAAGUUUUCUCAGCAGUGGUAAGGUAAUGUGAUGCAAAUGCUUUGAGACGUUCACUUCCUUCACUCACAACAUGUGACAUGACUGCACCUAUAUUAUAACGCAAGGGGUCUCAGGCAAACUUCACUGGGCAAUGCCCAUGUAUGCAGAGGCAGUGUAACCUGAAAGUGAGCCUUCUUGGUUCAAGAAUGCUCAAGCUAAAGGAAGACCAUCAGCAAUCAACAAUUCAAAGUCAACUGCCUCUAUAUAAGAUGCUGGAUGCCCCCAUAUAAGAAGAGCUUGACCUGCACUGGAAAUAGGUACAGGCCUGGUGUCAGCACUGUGCUGCAGUCAAGUUUAAGAAACAUAAACCAAACAUGGUUUCCUUCUGCUGGAUCAGAACUUUAGCAGCUCUAAGACUUAGAGGUUUACCUAUGACUUGAAAGGAAAAACAGAAAGAGCCGGAGAUCGUACAAGGGGAAGGACCGAUCAAACCAGGAGACCAGGUUUACGUGCGAGUUUUUCGGAGAAAGUGGAACGAGCCAAGAAGGGAAGGACCCUUUACGGUAACCAAGGCAUCACCCACCGUAGUUCAGGUAGAAGGCUGCUCCACCUGGUACCAUCUGAACCAUUGCACGAGGGCAGUCCUGCAAGGGCAAUCAGGUGAAGUGUCCGAGGUAAGUGAUGCGGAAGAGCAGUUAGCGGGAGACAGACAGGGGAAACAAGAAGCUGACACUGCACCGCAGGAGUUUGAUCAAUUAGGAAGGGAGAUUUUUGAUUCUGCGGACGGGCCUGAAGACCCCCAGGAUGUGGUGGUGGAUAGUAGGGCUUCUUCAGAUAAUGGGGAUGAGCUGGGAACGACCAGUUGUGUCCCUGGGGACAGAGCACUCACAUACUCCAGUGCAGACUUGGAAACCAUUAGUGUGGCAGAUAUGGAAUGGGACUAAUAACUUGCAGAAAAGAAGUAAAAGGAGCACAACACUUACCUCCUCACCAUGGUUAAAGACACGUACUAAUCAGUGGUAUCAAUGGGCAACAUACACGGCAGGAAUGAUGAAGAGACAAAAUUGUUACCUGUGCUCAAGGGAAAGCCCCACUCAGCAUGUAGUUCCCAUGCCUUAUAACUCCUCCACUUGCACGCAGUGGCGAAGAGAGCACAGGGAACAAUGCGAACGACAGUGUCCAGGUCCGGUUAGGGCUUGUUUCAUGAGGAUUUGCGUUAAAGCAGAUCCCUGCUAUCAAAACUGUCUGAACAAUGCACCAAUGUGCCCCUAUUGGUGUAUGCUAUAUCAGGCUUCCUCGCAGUUUGAUCAAAGCAAGAUUGCCUCUGAAUGCAAUUACAGCAGACCAUGGGCUAUAAAUAAAAGAAGCCAGACACCUGCACUGCAACAGCUUAUAAUGCAGGACCAUCUGAGUUAUGAAUGUUUCAUGCGGGUGGGCACUCACCCGGUUGGCCACUUCUGAGGCAACUGCACUCAGACGUGGGAUGUAAAAGACACUUGACGGGUUCCCCUCCUCCUGAGGGUGCAAUGGACUCUCAGACUAUCCCAUUAGCAGACACUUGGUGGCUGUGUGGACAGGAAGGAGGUCUGAGAUCUACGCUCCCCCUCAGGUGGGAAGGAACAUGUACACGUGUCAUGCUGCUUCAGGAAGUUAUAAUGUCCCCUGAAGUACAGUCCAACGCUAACUUCCCUGAGCAGCGGACUCUGCUACGGCAGAAGAGAAAAUAUGACCCGGACCCGACAAUCCGGAUUGACAGUACAGGGCAGUCAAGAGGUAUACCUAACGAAUUCAAGGCACGAAACGAGAUUGCUGCAGGCUGGGAAGCUAUCAUACCUGUGAUAGGGGUAAGCAAAAAUGUUGAAUGGAUAAACUAUAUAUACUAUAAUCAGCAGAGAUUCAUCAACUAUACCGAUGAUGCGCUAGAGGCCUUAGGACAGGGGUCAGCAACCUUUACCACUGAAAGAGCCACUUGGACCCGUUUCCCACAGAAAAGAAAACACUGGGAGCCGCAAAACCCGUUUGACAUUUAAAAUGAAAUAACACUGCAUACAACGUUUUGUUUUGCCUUUAUGCUAUGUAUAAACAAACUAUAAUGUGUUGCAUUUAUGAAAUUGAUGAACUCCUGCAGAAAAAACGAAAUUACAUUUCUGCAUGCAACAAAAACAUUUUGAACUCCGAAAAAAAAGACGUUGGGUUGAAGGUUACUUUUAAGUAAAAUACUCAACGUCUAUUUGAGUCCUUCUUGUAUUUAUGAAAAAUGCCAAACUUAAAUUUGCCGCCAGCAGCAAACCAAAAAUAACGUCAGCCAGCUGUCAACCUGAAAAAUAAAAGGACUAUUUCACUGAACAAUGAAAACAUAUGAAUAUACGUAAAAUAAUAGGCAAUUAAAAUAUUUAUCAUACUUGGUCAGGUUGACUCACACCUGACAAUGCAGUCGUAUUCAGUAGGGAUGGAUCGAUGCUUAGGGGAGUGACUGGGAAGGAUAAUGUGUUUUUUUCCUCUCUGAACUCACAGAAGCGUUUCCCAAACGAUGUUUGCAUUGGGAUGAUUGCAGAAUGUAAAUACUCCGAAUUUAUCAUGUCGUGACCUUGUUUGAACUCUCUCAAAUUGGGGAAGUGAGACAAUGUGCCUUUCUGUAAAUCUCUGGCAAGCACUGUCAACUUGCGCUCGAAUGCCAAAACAUCCUCCAACAUGUGCAGGGCUGUCCUUACCCCUGAAGAGCUGUGUUCAGCGUGUUCAGGUGCGCUGUCAUGUCUACCAUGAAGUGUAGCUUUUCCAGCCACUCUGGCUGUUCCAGCUCAGGAAAGGUGGGCCCUUUGCUGCCCAGGAAAGUUUUCACUUCUUCCAGACACGCGACAAAGCGUUUCAGCACCUUCCGUCUGGACAGCCAGCGAUAAAAACACGUUGUAGCGGUGUCAGUAAACUGCAGUCAAAGAUAGCUUUAUUCGAACUAAACAGCCUUGCUUUUAAGCCUCCCUCAACCCAGCCCCCAUGGACGCAGAUGCUGCAAAAGACGCGUACUCACAAACCCCCGUAGGCUAUCUCCCUUAGCCGGAAUGCCGGCUAAUUGUGAGCCGUUUCGGAUGUGGCAGGAAAUGUACAAGAUCACCAUAAUUACAUUUCAAAAGCUAACAAACUAACAUAAAAUACAUUUUAAUUAAAUACUGACCAAUUAUUUCC